rnacentral:rRNA from 1 species
UGGCAUCCGGCUGAUCGGGCUCGGCCCGAUCCUCCCACCCUUUGUGUACCCACCUCUGUUGCUUUGGCGGGCCGCGGUCCUCCGCGGCCGCCCUCCGUCCGGGGGGUGGCCAGCGCCCGCCAGAGGACCAUCAAACUCCGGUCAGUGAACGUUGCCGUCUGAAAAACAUUCAAUAAACUAAAACUUUCAACAACGGAUCUCUUGGUUCUGGCAUCGAUGAAGAACGCAGCGAAAUGCGAUAAGUAAUGUGAAUUGCAGAAUUCAGUGAAUCAUCGAAUCUUUGAACGCACAUUGCGCCCCUCGGUAUUCCGAGGGGCAUGCCUGUUCGAGCGUCAUUACAACCCUCAAGCUCUGCUUGGUGUUGGGCACCGCCCUUCCGCGGGCGCGCCUCAAAGACCUCGGCGGUGGCGUCUUGCCUCGAGCGUAGUAGAAAACACCUCGCUUUGGAGCGCACGGCGCCGCCCGCCGGACGAACCUUUUGAACUUUCUCAAGGUUGACCUCGGAUCAGGUAGGGAUACCCGCUGAACUUAAGCAUAUCAAUAAGCGGAGGAA